rnacentral:rRNA from 1 species
AGACUCCUACGGGAGGCAGCAGUGGGGAAUAUUGGACAAUGGGCGAAAGCCUGAUCCAGCCAUGCCGCGUGUGUGAAGAAGGUCUUCGGAUUGUAAAGCACUUUAAGUUGGGAGGAAGGGUUGUAGAUUAAUACUCUGCAAUUUUGACGUUACCGACAGAAUAAGCACCGGCUAACUCUGUGCCAGCAGCCGCGGUAAUACAGAGGGUGCAAGCGUUAAUCGGAAUUACUGGGCGUAAAGCGCGCGUAGGUGGUUUGUUAAGUUGGAUGUGAAAGCCCCGGGCUCAACCUGGGAACUGCAUCCAAAACUGGCAAGCUAGAGUACGGUAGAGGGUGGUGGAAUUUCCUGUGUAGCGGUGAAAUGCGUAGAUAUAGGAAGGAACACCAGUGGCGAAGGCGACCACCUGGACUGAUACUGACACUGA